GACAGUUUUGAAGUUUUCAAAGACUGGCUCUGCUGUUAAGAAGUUGUACUUAAAGUGGAGGAGCUAAGCCACCUGCCAAAAUGUGCAAAGGACUUGCAGCUUUGCCCCACUCAUGCCUGGAAAGGGCCAAGGAGAUUAAGAUCAAGUUGGGAAUUCUCCUCCAGAAGCCAGACUCAGUUGGUGACCUUGUCAUUCCGUACAAUGAGAAGCCAGAGAAACCAGCCAAGACCCAGAAACCCUCGCUGGACGAGUCCCUGCAGUGGCGUGAUUCCCUGGACAAACUCCUGCAGAACAACUAUGGACUUGCCAGUUUCAAAAGUUUCCUGAAGUCUGAAUUCAGUGAGGAAAACCUUGAGUUCUGGAUUGCCUGUGAGGAUUACAAGAAGAUCAAGUCCCCUGCCAAGAUGGCUGAGAAGGCAAAGCAAAUUUAUGAAGAAUUCAUUCAAACGGAGGCUCCUAAAGAGGUUGGUCUCUGGGUAGGUGGGUCAGUUAAGGGCAGCUCAUUAGCUCUCAGGAAGGAUUUACAUCUGAGACACAGACC
rnacentral:sRNA from 1 species